rnacentral:rRNA from 1 species
GUGAGGAAUAUUGCGCAAUGGAGGCAACUCUGACGCAGCCAUGCCGCGUGCAGGAAGAAGGCGCUACGCGUUGUAAACUGCUUUUAACCGGGAAGAAACCCCAGGACGUGUCCUGGGUUGACGGUACCGGAGGAAUAAGCACCGGCUAACUUCGUGCCAGCAGCCGCGGUAAUACGAAGGGUGCAAGCGUUAUCCGGAUUCAUUGGGUUUAAAGGGUGCGUAGGCGGAGCGUUAAGUCAGUGGUGAAAUCCUGCAGGUUAACUGUAGACGUACCAUUGAUACUGGCGCUCUUGAGUGCGCUUGAAGUGGGCGGAAUGUGCCGUGUAGCGGUGAAAUGCUUAGAUAUGACACAGAACACCAAUUGCGAAGGCAGCUCACUAAGGCGAUACUGACGCUGAGGCACGAAAGCGUGGGGAUCGAACAGGAUUAGAAACCCUUGUAGUCC